rnacentral:lncRNA from 1 species
AGUGAUCAAAGGAGAUGACUCUCUCUGUACCAACUACUCCCUGAUGACAUGAAUGUCUCGAGGCUCCUCCUCUGUAGGUACUCGGGGUUCCUCCUCCCCAGCUCGACUAGCUCCUCCAACAUCCGACAUCCUGACAACAAAAUUUUUAAGUUUUAGUUACUAAUCCGUACUAGCGAGCACAUAAUUUAACACAUAAGCAC